CACAUGCAAGUCGAGCGGUAAGGCCUUUCGGGGUACACGAGCGGCGAACGGGUGAGUAACACGUGGGUGAUCUGCCCUGCACUUCGGGAUAAGCCUGGGAAACUGGGUCUAAUACCGGAUAUGACCUCAKRUYGCAUGAYUUGKGGUGGAAAGAUUUAUCGGUGCAGGAUGGGCCCGCGGCCUAUCAGCUUGUUGGUGGGGUAAUGGCCUACCAAGGCGACGACGGGUAGCCGACCUGAGAGGGUGACCGGCCACACUGGGACUGAGACACGGCCCAGACUCCUACGGGAGGCAGCAGUGGGGAAUAUUGCACAAUGGGCGAAAGCCUGAUGCAGCGACGCCGCGUGAGGGAUGACGGCCUUCGGGUUGUAAACCUCUUUCAGCAGGGACGAAGCGCAAGUGACGGUACCUGCAG
rnacentral:rRNA from 1 species